UACGUAGGGUGCGAGCGUUGUCCGGAAUUAUUGGGCGUAAAGAGCUCGUAGGCGGUUUGUUGCGUCUAUCGUGAAAACCUGCAGCUUAACUGUGGGCUUGCGGUGGAUACGGGCAGACUUGAGUUCGGUAGGGGAGACUGGAAUUCCUGGUGUAGCGGUGAAAUGCGCAGAUAUCAGGAGGAACACCAGCGGCGAAGGCGGCGCUCUGGGCCGGAACUGACGCUGAGGAGCGAAAGCGUGGGUAGCAAACAGG
rnacentral:rRNA from 1 species